rnacentral:rRNA from 1 species
CCUACGGGGGCAGCAGUGGGGAAUAUUGGACAAUGGGCGAAAGCCUGAUCCAGCCAUGCCGCGUGUGUGAAGAAGGCCUUCGGGUUGUAAAGCACUUUCAGUGGGGAAGAAAGCCUUGGGGCUAAUACCCUCGAGGAAGGACAUCACCCACAGAAGAAGCACCGGCUAACUCCGUGCCAGCAGCCGCGGUAAUACGGAGGGUGCGAGCGUUAAUCGGAAUUACUGGGCGUAAAGCGCGCGUAGGCGGUCUGAUAAGCCGGUUGUGAAAGCCCCGGGCUCAACCUGGGAACGGCAUCCGGAACUGUCAGGCUAGAGUGCAGGAGAGGAAGGUAGAAUUCCCGGUGUAGCGGUGAAAUGCGUAGAGAUCGGGAGGAAUACCAGUGGCGAAGGCGGUCUUCUGGACUGACACUGACGCUGAGGUGCGAAAGCGUGGGUAGCAAACAGGAUUAGAUACCCUAGUAGUC